GAUGAACGCUGGCGGCGUGCCUAACACAUGCAAGUCGAGCGAUUCUCUUCGGAGAAGAGCGGCGGACGGGUGAGUAACGCGUGGGUAACCUGCCCUGUACACACGGAUAACAUACCGAAAGGUAUGCUAAUACGGGAUAACAUCUUUUAGUCGCAUGGCUGAAAUAUCAAAGCUCCGGCGGUGCAGGAUGGACCCGCGUCUGAUUAGCUAGUUGGUAAGGUAAUGGCUUACCAAGGCGACGAUCAGUAGCCGACCUGAGAGGGUGAUCGGCCACAUUGGAACUGAGACACGGUCCAAACUCCUACGGGAGGCAGCAGUGGAGAAUAUUGCACAAUGGGCGAAAGCCUGAUGCAGCAACGCCGCGUGAGCGAUGAAGGCCUUCGGGUCGUAAAGCUCUGUCCUCAAGGAAGAUAAUGACGGUACUUGAGGAGGAAGCCCCGGCUAACUACGUGCCAGCCGCCGCCGUAA
rnacentral:rRNA from 1 species